rnacentral:rRNA from 1 species
AAAGGAAGUUCGACGGGGCCCGCACAAGCGGAGGAACAUGUGGUUUAAUUCGAUGAUACGCGAGGAACCUUACCUGGGCUUAAAUGUAGAGUGCAUUUUCUAGAGAUAGGAAUUCCCUUCGGGGCUUUCUACAAGGUGCUGCAUGGUUGUCGUCACGCUCGUGCCGUGGGGUGUCGGGUUAAGUCCCAUAACGAGCGCAACCCUUAUCGUUAGUUGCCAUCUGGUAAAGCAGGGGACUCUAGCGAAACUGCCACCGUAAGGUGAGAGGAAGUGGGAUGACGUCAAAUCAGCACGGCCCUUAUGUCCAGGGCUACACACGUGUUACAAUGGUCGGUACAGAGGGCAGCUACCUGGUGACAGGAUGCUAAUCUCGAAAACCGGCCUCAGUUCGGAUCGAAGUCUGCAACUCGACUUCGUGAAGCUGGAUUCGCUAGUAAUCGCGCAUCAGCCAUGGCGCGGUGAAUACGUUCCCGGGCCUU